AUUGAACGCUGGCGGCAGGCCUAACACAUGCAAGUCGAACGAGUGGCGGACGGGUGAGUAAUGUCUGGGAAACUGCCUGAUGGAGGGGGAUAACUACUGGAAACGGUAGCUAAUACCGCAUACCAUCAGAUGUGCCCAGAUGGGAUUAGCUAGUUGGGGGGGUAACGGCUCACCAAGGCGACGAUCCCUAGCUGGUCUGAGAGGAUGACUAGCCACAUGGGGAGUGAGACACGGCCCGGACUCCUACGGGAGGCAGUAGUGGGGAAGAUUGGACAAUGGGCGCAAGCGUGAUGCAGCCAUGCCGCGUGUAUGAAGAAGGCAUGCGGGUUGUAAAGUACUUUCAGCGGGGAGGCGUUACCCGCAGAAGAAGCACCGGCUAACUCCGUGCCAGCAGCCGCGGUAAUAC
rnacentral:rRNA from 1 species